rnacentral:rRNA from 1 species
UUAAGCGAAUAAGCGUACACGGUGGAUGCCUAGGCAAUCAGAGGCGAUGAAGGACGUGCUAAUCUGCGAAAAGCGUCGGUAAGGUGAUAUGAACCGUUAUACCCGACGAUAUCCGAAUGGGGAAACCCAGUAUCCAAUGGAUACUAUCAUUAACUGAAUCCAUAGGUUAAUGAGGCGAACCGGGAGAACUGAAACAUCUCAGUACCCCGAGGAAAAGAAAUCAACCGAGAUUCCCCUAGUAGCGGCGAGCGAACGGGGAGCAGCCCAGAGUCUUAAUCAAUAACAGUGUCAGGAGAACGGUCUGGAAAGUCCGGCAGUAAAGGGUGAUAGCCCCGUAUCUGAAGAUGCUGUUAUUGUGAACUCGACGAGUAGGGCGGGACACGUGUUAUCCUGUCUGAAUAUGGGGGGACCAUCCUCCAAGGCUAAAUACUCCUGAUUGACCGAUAGUGAACCAGUACCGUGAGGGAAAGGCGAAAAGAACCCCGGCGAGGGGAGUGAAAAAGAACCUGAAACCGUGUACGUACAAGCAGUAGGAGCCUCUUUAUGGGGUGACUGCGUACCUUUUGUAUAAUGGGUCAGCGACUUAUAUUCUGUAGCAAGGUUAACCGUAUAGGGGAGCCGUAGGGAAACCGAGUCUUAACUGGGCGAAUGAGUUGCAGGGUAUAGACCCGAAACCCGGUGAUCUAUCCAUGGGCAGGUUGAAGGUUGGGUAACACUAACUGGAGGACCGAACCGACUAAUGUUGAAAAAUUAGCGGAUGACUUGUGGAUGGGGGUGAAAGGCCAAUCAAACCGGGAGAUAGCUGGUUCUCCCCGAAAGCUAUUUAGGUAGCGCCUCGUGAACUCAUCUUCGGGGUAGAGCACUGUUUCGACUAGGGGGUCAUCCCGACUUACCAACUCGAUGCAAACUGCGAAUACCGAAGAAUGUUAUCACGGGAGACACACGGCGGGUGCUAACGUCCGUCGUGAAGAGGGAAACAACUCAGACCGCCAGCUAAGGUCCCAAAGUCAUGGUUAAGUGGGAAACGAAGUGGGAAGGCUCAGACAGCCAGGAUGUUGGCUUAGAAGCAGCCAUCAUUUAAAGAAAGCGUAAUAGCUCACUGGUCGAGUCGGCCCGCGCGGAAGAUGUAACGGGGCUAAACCAUGCACCGAAGCUGCGGCAGCGACACAAAGUGUUGUUGGGUAGGGGAGCGUUCUGUAAGCCUGCGAAGGUGUACUGUGAGGUAUGCUGGAGGUAUCAGAAGUGCGAAUGCUGACAUAAGUAACGAUAAUGCGGGUGAAAAACCCGCACGCCGGAAGACCAAGGGUUCCUGUCCAACGUUAAUCGGGGCAGGGUGAGUCGACCCCUAAGGCGAGGCUGAAAAGCGUAGUCGAUGGGAAACGGGUUAAUAUUCCCGUACUGGUGGUAACUGCGAUGGGGGAACGGAGAAGGCUAGGUUGUCCGGGCGACGGUCGUCCCGGUUCAAGCAGGUAGGCAGAGUGACUAGGCAAAUCCGGUCACUUAAUGCUGAGAUGUGAUGACGAACCACCAAGGUGGUGAAGCAAUUGAUGCCCCGCUUCCAGGAAAAGCCUCUAAGCUUCAGGUUACCAACAAUCGUACCCCAAACCGACACAGGUGGUCAGGUAGAGAAUACUCAGGCGCUUGAGAGAACUCGGGUGAAGGAACUAGGCAAAAUGGUGCCGUAACUUCGGGAGAAGGCACGCUGGCGGUAGGUAAAGUCCCUCGCGGACGGCGCUGAAGCCAGUCGAAGAUACCAGCUGGCUGCAACUGUUUAUUAAAAACACAGCACUGUGCAAACACGAAAGUGGACGUAUACGGUGUGACGCCUGCCCGGUGCUGGAAGGUUAAUUGAUGGGGUCAGCCGCAAGGCGAAGCUCCUGAUCGAAGCCCCAGUAAACGGCGGCCGUAACUAUAACGGUCCUAAGGUAGCGAAAUUCCUUGUCGGGUAAGUUCCGACCUGCACGAAUGGCGUAAUGAUGGCCAGGCUGUCUCCACCCGAGACUCAGUGAAAUUGAACUCGCUGUGAAGAUGCAGUGUACCCGCGGCAAGACGGAAAGACCCCGUGAACCUUUACUAUAGCUUGACACUGAACAUUGAGCCUUGAUGUGUAGGAUAGGUGGGAGGCUUUGAAGUGUGGACGCCAGUCUGCAUGGAGCCAACCUUGAAAUACCACCCUUUAACGUUUGAUGUUCUAACCUAGGCCCAUAAACUGGGUCGGGGACCGUGUCUGGUGGGUAGUUUGACUGGGGCGGUCUCCUCCUAAAGAGUAACGGAGGAGCACGAAGGUUGGCUAAGCAUGGUCGGACAUCAUGCGGUUAGUGCAAAGGCAUAAGCCAGCUUGACUGCGAGAGUGACGGCUCGAGCAGGUACGAAAGUAGGUCUUAGUGAUCCGGUGGUUCUGAAUGGAAGGGCCAUCGCUCAACGGAUAAAAGGUACUCCGGGGAUAACAGGCUGAUACCGCCCAAGAGUUCAUAUCGACGGCGGUGUUUGGCACCUCGAUGUCGGCUCAUCACAUCCUGGGGCUGAAGUAGGUCCCAAGGGUAUGGCUGUUCGCCAUUUAAAGUGGUACGCGAGCUGGGUUUAGAACGUCGUGAGACAGUUCGGUCCCUAUCUGCCGUGGGCGUUGGAAGAUUGAGAGGGGUUGCUCCUAGUACGAGAGGACCGGAGUGAACGCACCACUGGUGUUCGGGUUGUCAUGCCAAUGGCAUUGCCCGGUAGCUAAGUGCGGAAGAGAUAACCGCUGAAAGCAUCUAAGCGGGAAACUUGCCUCGAGAUGAGUCUUCCCUGUCGCUUUAAGCGACCUAAAGGAACGUUUAAGACUAAGACGUUGAUAGGCUGGGUGUGUAAGCGUAGCGAUACGUUGAGCUAACCAGUACUAAUGAACCGUGAGGCUUAACCUG